UCUUCAGAAGGAGGAUCGGACACGCUUGC
rnacentral:piRNA from 1 species